rnacentral:rRNA from 1 species
UACGUAGGGGGCUAGCGUUGUCCGGAAUCAUUGGACGUAAAGAGCGCGUAGGCGGCUAGAUAAGUCCGGUGUGAAAGUCACAGGCUCAACCUGUGAAUGCCGCUGGAAACUGUCUGGCUAGAGUCCGGAAGGGGCGAGUGGAAUUCCUGGUGUAGCGGUGAAAUGCGCAGAUAUCGUAAGGAAGACCAGUGGCGAAGGCGGGUCUCUGGACAGUUCCUGACGCUGAGGCACGAAGGCCAGGGGAGCAAACGGG